rnacentral:rRNA from 1 species
UACAGAGGAUGCAAGCGUUAUCCGGAAUGAUUGGGCGUAAAGCGUCUGUAGGUGGCUUUUUAAGUCCGCCGUCAAAUCCCAGGGCUCAACUCUGGACAGGCGGUGGAAACUACCAAGCUGGAGUACGGUAGGGGCAGAGGGAAUUUCCGGUGGAGCGGUGAAAUGCGUAGAUAUGCGGAGGAACACCGAUGGCGAAGGCAAUCCCCUGGGCCUGCACUGACGCUCAUGCACGAAAGCGUGGGGAGCAAACGGG